AGCCCGGUGGGGUGGUCGCCCCGGCCGAUGAGCGCCUGGGCCGGGGAGUCGAGUUACACGGCGGGCAGAUCGGCACUGACCCGGGCCA
rnacentral:tRNA from 1 species